AGAUUGAACGCUGGCGGCAUGCCUUACACAUGCAAGUCGAACGGUAGAGUAGCAAUACUCGAGAGUGGCGAACGGGUGAGUAAUAUAUCGGAACGUGCCCAGUCGUGGGGGAUAACGUAGAGAAAUUUACGCUAAUACCGCAUACGAUCUAAGGAUGAAAGCGGGGGACCGUAAGGCCUCGCGCGAUUGGAGCGGCUGAUAUCAGAUUAGGUUGUUGGUGAGGUAAAAGCUCACCAAGCCGACGAUCUGUAGCUGGUUUGAGAGAACGACCAGCCACACUGGGACUGAGACACGGCCCAGACUCCUACGGGAGGCAGCAGUGGGGAAUUUGGACAAGUGGCGAAAGCCUGAUCCAGCAAUGCCGCGUGCAGGAAGAAGGCCUUCGGGUUGUAAACUGUCUUUUGUACGGUAACGAAACGGUCUGUACUUUAAGUACUAGUGGCUAAGUGUAACGGUACGUAAGAAUAAGACACCGGACUAACUACGUCGCCGUACGCACGGCCGUCGUAAUCGUA
rnacentral:rRNA from 1 species